GAUGAAGAACGUAGCGAAAUGCGAUACUUGGUGUGAAUUGGAGAAUCCCGUGAACCAUCGAGUCUUUGAACGCAAGUUGCGCCUCAAGCCAUUAGGUUGAGGGCACGUCUGCCUGGGCGUCACAUAUCGUUGCCUGAUGCCAGUUUCCUCGUGAUGGGUGACUGUGCAGGGCGAAUGAUGGCUUCCCGUGAGCAUUGUUGCCUCAUGGUUGGUUGAAAAUUGAGUCCUUGGUAGGGAGCGCCGUGAUAGAUGGUGGUUGAGUGACGAACGAGACCCAAUCAUGUGAGACCCCUACCGAAUUUGGCCUUCAUGACCCACAUGCGUCUUUGGAACGCUCAUGACGAGACCUCAGGUCAGGCGGGGCUACCCGCUGAGUUUAAGCAUAUCAAUAAGCGGAGGA
rnacentral:misc_RNA from 1 species